CAGUCGAAAGGGAGGCCCUUCGGGGUACUCGAGUGGCGAACGGGUGAGUAACACGUGGGUGAUCUGCCCUGCACUUUGGGAUAAGCCUGGGAAACUGGGUCUAAUACCGAAUAGGACCACGCGCUUCAUGGUGUGUGGUGGAAAGCUUUUGCGGUGUGGGAUGGGCCCGCGGCCUAUCAGCUUGUUGGUGGGGUAAUGGCCUACCAAGGCGACGACGGGUAGCCGGCCUGAGAGGGUGACCGGCCACACUGGGACUGAGAUACGGCCCAGACUCCUACGGGAGGCAGCAGUGGGGAAUAUUGCACAAUGGGCGCAAGCCUGAUGCAGCGACGCCGCGUGAGGGAUGACGGCCUUCGGGUUGUAAACCUCUUUCAAUAGGGACGAAGCGCAAGUGACGGUACCUAUAGAAGAAGCACCGGCCAACUACGUGCCAGCAGCCGCGGUAAUACGUAGGGUGCGAGCGUUGUCCGGAAUUACUGGGCGUAAAGAGCUCGUAGGUGGUUUGUCGCGUUGUUCGUGAAAACUCACAGCUUAACUGUGGGCGUGCGGGCGAUACGGGCAGACUAGAGUACUGCAGGGGAGACUGGAAUUCCUGGUGUAGCGGUGGAAUGCGCAGAUAUCAGGAGGAACACCGGUGGCGAAGGCGGGUCUCUGGGCAGUAACUGACGCUGAGGAGCGAAAGCGUGGGGAGCGAACAGGAUUAGAUACCCUGGUAGUCCACGCCGUAAACGGUGGGUACUAGGUGUGGGUUCCUUCCUUGGGAUCCGUGCCGUAGCUAACGCAUUAAGUACCCCGCCUGGGGAGUACGGCCGCAAGGCUAAAACUCAAAGGAAUUGACGGGGGCCCGCACAAGCGGCGGAGCAUGUGGAUUAAUUCGAUGCAACGCGAAGAACCUUACCUGGGUUUGACAUGCACAGGACGCCGGCAGAGAUGUCGGUUCCCUUGUGGCCUGUGUGCAGGUGGUGCAUGGCUGUCGUCAGCUCGUGUCGUGAGAUGUUGGGUUAAGUCCCGCAACGAGCGCAACCCUUGUCCUAUGUUGCCAGCGGGUUAUGCCGGGGACUCGUAGGAGACUGCCGGGGUCAACUCGGAGGAAGGUGGGGAUGACGUCAAGUCAUCAUGCCCCUUAUGUCCAGGGCUUCACACAUGCUACAAUGGCCGGUACAAAGGGCUGCGAUGCCGUGAGGUGGAGCGAAUCCUUUCAAAGCCGGUCUCAGUUCGGAUCGGGGUCUGCAACUCGACCCCGUGAAGUCGGAGUCGCUAGUAAUCGCAGAUCAGCAACGCUGCGGUGAAUACGUUCCCGGGCCUUGUACACACCGCCCGUCACGUCAUGAAAGUCGGUAACACCCGAAGCCGGUGGCCUAACCCUUUGGG
rnacentral:rRNA from 1 species